UAAUUGGAGAGUUUGAUCCUGGCUCAGAAUGAACGCUGGCGGCGUGCCUAACACAUGCAAGUCGCACGAGAACGUUUCAGCUUGCUGAAACUAGUAAAGUGGCGCACGGGUGAGUAACGCGUGGGUAAUCUACCUCCGAAUUGGGGAUAACAUUGCGAAAGCGACGCUA
rnacentral:rRNA from 1 species